UAGGGAAUCUUCGGCAAUGGACGAAAGUCUGACCGAGCAACGCCGCGUGAGUGAAGAAGGUUUUCGGAUCGUAAAACUCUGUUGUUAGAGAAGAACAAGGACGUUAGUAACUGAACGUCCCCUGACGGUAUCUAACCAGAAAGCCACGGCUAACUACGUGCCAGCAGCCGCGGUAAUACGUAGGUGGCAAGCGUUGUCCGGAUUUAUUGGGCGUAAAGCGAGCGCAGGCGGUUUCUUAAGUCUGAUGUGAAAGCCCCCGGCUCAACCGGGGAGGGUCAUUGGAAACUGGGAGACUUGAGUGCAGAAGAGGAGAGGGGAAUUCCAUGUGUAGCGGUGAAAUGCGUAGAGAUAUGGAGGAACACCAGUGGCGAAGGCGGCUCUCUGGUCUGUAACUGACGCUGAGGCUCGAAAGCGUGGGGAGCAAACAGG
rnacentral:rRNA from 1 species